rnacentral:rRNA from 1 species
UACGUAGGGGGCAAGCGUUGUCCGGAUUUAUUUGGCGUAAAGAGCGUGUAUGCGGUUUGUCGCGUCGGCCGUGAAAACUUGGGGCUUAACCCCAAGCCUGCGGUCGAUACGGGCAGACUUGAGUUCGGCAGGGGAGACUGGAAUUCCUGGUGUAGCGGUGAAAUGCGCAGAUAUCAGGAGGAACACCGGUGGCGAAGGCGGGUCUCUGGGCCGAUACUGACGCUGAGGAGCGAAAGCGUGGGGAGCGAACAGG